GACGAACGCUGGCGGCGUGCCUAAUACAUGCAAGUAGAACGCACAGUUUAUACCUUAGCUUGCUACACCAUAAACUGUGAGUUGCGAACGGGUGAGUAACGCGUAGGUAACCUGCCUGGUAGCGGGGGAUAACUAUUGGAAACGAUAGCUAAUACCGCAUAAUAUUGAUUAUUGCAUGAUAAUUGAUUGAAAGAUGCUAUUUCAUCACUACCAGCUGGACCUGCGUUGUAUUAGCUAGUAGGUGAGGUAACGGCUCACCUAGGCGACGAUACAUAGCCGAACUGAGAGGGUGAUCGGCCACACUGGGACUGAGACACGGGCCAGACUCCUACGGGAGGCAGCAGUAGGGAAACUUCGGCAAAGGACGAAAGUCUGAACGAGCAACGCCGCGUGAGUGAAGAAGGGUUUCGGAUCGUAAAGAUCUGUUGUAAGAGAAGAACGGGUGUGAGAGUGGAAAGUUCACACUGUGACGGUAUCUAACCAGAAAGGGACGGCUAACUACGUG
rnacentral:rRNA from 1 species